rnacentral:snRNA from 1 species
GGGAGGGUGAUCUGGUUGCGACAUCUGUCACCCCAUUGAUCGCCAGGGUUGAUUCGGCUGAUCUGGCUGGCUAGGCGGGUGUCCCCUUCCUCCCUCACCGCUCCAUGUGCGUCCCUCCCGAAGCUGCGCGCUCGGUCGAAGAGGACGACCAUCCCCGCUAGAGGAGGACCGGUCUUCGGUCAAGGGUAUACGAGUAGCUGCGCUCCCCUGCUAGAACGUCCAAACAAGCUCUCAAGUUCUUAAUAACUUCUGCUCGUGGUAGGAGGUCACACCAUUUCUGUCCUUUGUUAUGCCCAUCUUUGUAUCUGUAUUUUUAUGGGGUUACUUAAAAU